rnacentral:rRNA from 1 species
CCCUUAGAUGUUCUGGGCGGCCCGCGCACUACAAUGGCGCGUUCAUCGAGAACCAAGGUUGAAUUAUUCGAGGUAUUCUUGCAAAACGCGUCUUGAUUGGGAUAGAUCCUUGUAAUUGUUGGUCUUGAACGAGGAAUUCCUUGUAAGCGUGGUUUAUCAUCCCACGUUGAAUGCGUCCCUGCCCUUUGUACACACCGCCCGUCGCUCCUACCGAUGAAUUGUCCGGUGAAGUUCAUGGAGAGCUGUUUCACUGAGAUGUGCUUAAAGCGAGAUGAACCUAGCGGUUUAGAGGAAGGAGAAGUCGUANCA